rnacentral:rRNA from 1 species
UGGGGAAUAUUGGACAAUGGGCGCAAGCCUGAUCCAGCAAUGCCGCGUGGGUGAAGAAGGUUUUCGGAUUGUAAAGCCCUUUCGGCGGGGACGAUGAUGACGGUACCCGCAGAAGAAGCCCCGGCUAACUUCGUGCCAGCAGCCGCGGUAAUACGAAGGGGGCUAGCGUUGCUCGGAAUGACUGGGCGUAAAGGGCGCGUAGGCGGAUGUGACAGUCAGGCGUGAAAUUCCUGGGCUCAACCUGGGGGCUGCGUUUGCUACGUCAUGUCUUGAGUGGGGAAGAGGGUCGUGGAAUUCCCAGUGUAGAGGUGAAAUUCGUAGAUAUUGGGAAGAACACCGGUGGCGAAGGCGGCGACCUGGUCCUUUACUGACGCUGAGGCGCGAAAGCGUGGGGAGCAAACAGGAUUAGAUACCCUGGUAGUCCACGCCGUAAACGAUGUGUGCUGGAUGUUGGGCGACCUAGUCGCUCAGUGUCGAAGCUAACGCGCUAAGCACACCGCCUGGGGGAUAC